ensembl:snoRNA
GAGCAUGUUCCCAAGAUGUGAGGCUCGUGUGCCCAUCUGAUCUCAAACUGCAUGCAAGAGCAACAUGGAAAGACUGACAGCGCCGAUCAGCAAAGGAUCUGCAGCUGCCACUUGCCUUUCCUAUAACA